rnacentral:rRNA from 1 species
UGGGGAAUUUUGGACAAUGGGCGAAAGCCUGAUCCAGCAAUGCCGCGUGUGUGAAGAAGGCCUUCGGGUUGUAAAGCACUUUUGUCCGGAAAGAAAUCCUUGGCUCUAAUACAGUCGGGGGAUGACGGUACCGGAAGAAUAAGCACCGGCUAACUACGUGCCAGCAGCCGCGGUAAUACGUAGGGUGCAAGCGUUAAUCGGAAUUACUGGGCGUAAAGCGUGCGCAGGCGGUUUGCUAAGACCGAUGUGAAAUCCCCGGGCUCAACCUGGGAACUGCAUUGGUGACUGGCAGGCUAGAGUAUGGCAGAGGGGGUAGAAUUCCACGUGUAGCAGUGAAAUGCGUAGAGAUGUGGAGGAAUACCGAUGGCGAAGGCAGCCCCCUGGCCAAGUACUGACGCUCAUGCACGAAAGCGUGGGGAGCAAACAGGAUUAGAUACCCUGGUAGUCCACACCCUAAACGAUGUCAACUAGUUGUUGGGGAUUCAUUUCCUUAGUAACGUAGCUAACGCGUGAAGUUGACCGCCUGGGGAGUACGGUCGCAAGAUUAAAACUCAAAUGAAUUGACGGGGUC